AACCUUAUGGACCUGCGGGCGUAUACCUGCGGAAGGAUCAUUACACAACAAAAUAUGAAGGUCUGGCUUCGCGGCCGGCUGAAGUAUUUUUUUUCACCCAUGUCUUUUGCGCACUUGUUGUUUCCUGGGCGGGUUCGCCCGCCACCAGGACCAAACCAUAAACCUUUUUUUUAUGUAGUUGCAAUCAGCGUCAGUAAAAACAAUGUAAUUAUUACAACUUUUAACAAUGGAUCUCAGAUC
rnacentral:misc_RNA from 1 species